rnacentral:rRNA from 1 species
ACGAACGCUGGCGGCGUGCUUAACACAUGCAAGUCGAACGAAGAGCGACGGAAGCUUGCUUCUAUCAAUCUUCGUGGCGAACGGGUGAGUAACGCGUAAUCAACCUGCCCUUCAGAGGGGGACAACAGUUGGAAACGACUGCUAAUACCGCAUACGAUCUAACCUCGGCAUCGAGGAUAGAUGAAAGGUGGCCUCUACAUGUAAGCUAUCACUGAAGGAGGGGAUUGCGUCUGAUUAGCUAGUUGGAGGGGUAACGGCCCACCAAGGCGAUGAUCAGUAGCCGGUCUGAGAGGAUGAACGGCCACAUUGGGACUGAGACACGGCCCAGACUCCUACGGGAGGCAGCAGUGGGGAAUCUUCCGCAAUGGACGAAAGUCUGACGGAGCAACGCCGCGUGAGUGAUGACGGCCUUCGGGUUGUAAAGCUCUGUUAAUCGGGACGAAAGGCCUUCUUGCGAAUAGUGAGAAGGAUUGACGGUACCGGAAUAGAAAGCCACGGCUAACUACGUG